AGACUCAACCAAGGCCCCACUGUGGGUGAGGAGCAGGGACACUGGCUCCCAGCCCUUUCCAUGGCACCCAUGCAGCUCCGAGAACAGCAAAGUCCAGCAUCCCUAGGGGGUCACACGAUCUGAAGACCAGUCACACAGACAUGGAGCCCCGCAGGGGGACCCUUCUCCUGGCUCGAGCAGUCUGGACCCCCAUCUCCAGAAGGCUUCAAUCUCCCACUGGAGAACUCUGGAAUGACAGCGGUAGAAGUCUCACCUGCGCCUGCCUGGUUGAUUUUUCCCAGCUAACUUGCUCCCUGCCCUCUACCCACAGUUGUACAGAGUAAAACAAAAUCAUCAUGUUAAAUACUAGAUUCUAGAUGACAGCCCUAAAAACGACUGCCAUUUAAGUCGAGCAAAAUUUAAAAUCUUUUUGAAACAAACCAAGCAAUCACUUGAGGUAAGUUUGGGGAAGGUCUUUUGAAAUCAAUCACUCUCUCCACUGGAGAUCCAGUUUCCAAGUUGUUUCCUGGGCUCGCGAAGCAGCAGAAGGUAUGAAUAGAGAAUGCUAGGCAGUGAAUUCCUAAAACCCGAGGAUGAAAACACACACGGUUCUGAAGAUCCCACAGAAAGAUAUGCCAAUUAAUCUUAUUCUUAAAAUUGGCCUGAAGAAGAAAGGGAAGCCCCUGAUGCAGAAACUGCAUAAGGAAUCCUCCCCUCUGGAACACACAGGAGGCGUCAGAAAGAAGCCUGACCUUCUCCCUUUCCCAUGACCUUAGAGGAAAGGAAGGUCAGUCACAGCAGCAGUGGCUCAGAAGCAGGUAGGGAAUCUUUUUCUAUGGGAAGAGCUCACCAGGUGUGUGCUGUGUGCCAAGGACCACAGCAAGCAGAGGCUGUCCAAACAUGAAGAAUGCCUCUGCACAGGCCAACUGCAUGUUCCGCAGGACCAUUUAGGUUGCACCAUCUCCCUCUCGACAGCCUGGCACAGUGGCAUUCCGGUGUGUGCUACCCGUGCCUGGCUGGUGAAGAGCCUUUCUCCCACUCCACCUGGAGCUCCACGAGGGAAGGGCUUCACCCUUUUUAUCUAACCCAAAGCAAGUGCUCAAGUAACAAGAGAAGACGACAAGGGAAGGGAAGAGAGGAGGUGCUGUUUGUGCUGGAUCCCGAGGUGGAGAAGGUCAAAGGAAACAAGCUGAUGACCAGCCAUCCUGGUGGCAUUCAGACCGCUUGCUCCAGCUGACAACCACCUGGGCUAUCAGAAUCAGCAGCAAAGGUAGGACAGGCCCCAAGGUCACCCGUCCCAGCGCAGCCCAUCAGCUCUUAGCUCACCUAUGCAACUUAAUGAAGAGCUGGAGCUAACAGCGUGUAAUUAGAUGUGUCCCCAAAACUCGUUUAUCUUAUGCAAUGGGAACACAUCAGCUGACAGAUCCAGACUUGCCUUGGACUGAUUUUUACAGCAAUAUUUUUUUAGCCUCUGGUUGGCAAGCACCCUGGGAAUGUGGAGAUGGAGGCUGAACACUUCCCCAACCUAAAUACUCAGUUGAUGUUCCAGAGGUUUAAAACAGAAAAACUUACUUUAAAAAGGACAAAAAUGACACUUUUUCAAAUUUGAUAUUAACAUGAGAAUUCAAACAGUAGUGUAAGAAGAUGUACAAGAGUCUAAAGAUUUGAAAGAAGAAUGAUUGGAAGUGACGCAGUUAGAGCAGGCCUAACUGAACCAGAACGAUGCAACUCCACAGCUCCUCCCCUCCCCAUUCCAGUGGAGCCAACCCCACAGAGGGAAUGGGAAGCACUCCCACAGGGCAACGUUUUUAACAGAAAUAUAUAACAACUUUUGCUUUCAAAGUUGGGUGGGACUAGAACACACAAUGGAAGGAUGGAGUCAGGAGACCUGGAUUCUUGUGCCCGCUCUGGCUUUUACAGUCUGCCUAACUCUAUGCAGUCACUUCCUGCCAGCCUGUUUCCUUACCUACAAGAGGGAGAGACACUCCCUGGCCAGCCUAGUUCUCAGGGUGAACGAAAGGUCAUUAUCACUGCAUCCUCUAGUCAUUUGCUUCUUCGCUAAUUAACACAUCUUGAGCACCUGCGAUGUUCCAGGAACAGGAGAUGGCAGCGUGCAAGAUAAAGUCCCUGACUUCUAGAGACUGCAUGUUAGUGGCAAUCGGCGUCUACCCGGCCUUCAAUAAACUACUGAAUGAAGGAAAA